rnacentral:misc_RNA from 1 species
GAAAUGCGAUAAGUAAUGUGAAUUGCAGAAUUCAGUGAAUCAUCGAAUCUUUGAACGCACCUUGCGCUCCUUGGUAUUCCUUGGAGCAUGCCUGUUUGAGUAUCAUGAAAUCUUCAAAGUAAAUCUUUUGUUAACUCACUUGGUUUCUACUUUGGUAUUGGAGGUCUUUGCAGCUUCACACCUGCUCCUCUUUGUUCAUUAGCUGGAUCUCAGUGUUAUGCUUGGUUCCACUCGGCGUGAUAAGUUAUCUAUCGCUGAGGACACUGUAAAAGGUGGCCAAGGUCAAUGCAGAUGAACCGCUUCUAAUAGUCCAUUGACUUGGACAAUACUUUUAUGAUCUGAUCUCAAAUCAGGUAGGACUACCCGCUGAACUUAAGC